AGCCUCAAGAUAGAGAAUCCUGGAGGUAGAGCACUGUUUGGACUAGGGGCCCAUCCCGGGUUACCGAAUUCAGACAAACUCCGAAUGCCAGUGAUUUAUGCUUGGGAGUCAGACUGCGAGUGAUAAGAUCCGUAGUCAAGAGGGAAACAGCCCAGACCACCAGCUAAGGUCCCCAAAUAUCCGUUAAGUGGAAAAGGAUGUGGCGUUGCUUAGACAACCAGGAUGUUGGCUUAGAAGCAGCCAUCAUUUAAAGAGUGCGUAAUAGCUCACUGGUCGAGUGACACUGCGCCGAAAAUGUACCGGGGCUAAACGGAUUACCGAAGCUGUGGAUGGACAUCGUAGAUGUCCGUGGUAGGAGAGCGUUCUAAGGGCGUUGAAGUCAGACCGGAAGGACUGGUGGAGCGCUUAGAAGUGAGAAUGCCGGUAUGAGUAACGAAAGACGGGUGAGAAUCCCGUCCACCGAAUGCCUAAGGUUUCCUGAGGAAGGCUCGUCCGCUCAGGGUUAGUCGGGACCUAAGUCGAGGCCGAUAGGCGUAGACGAUGGACAACAGGUUGAUAUUCCUGUACCACCUCCCCGCCGUUUGAGCAAUGGGGGGACGCAGAAGGAUAGGGUGAGCGUGCCGUUGGUUGUGCACGUCCAAGUUGUGAGAUGAGAAACGAGGCAAAUCCCGUUUCUAGAUACAUCAAGCAGUGAUGGCAAGAGGUUUACCUCAGAGUCCCUGAUUUCACACUGCCAAGAAAAGCCUCUAGCGAGGCGGGAGGUGCCCGUACCGCAAACCGACACAGGUAGGCGAGAAGAGAAUUCUAAGGUGAGCGAGUGAACUCUCGUUAAGGAACUCGGCAAAAUGACCCCGUAACUUCGGGAGAAGGGGUGCUCUGGUAGGGUGUUACAGCC
rnacentral:rRNA from 1 species